rnacentral:rRNA from 1 species
CUACGGGAGGCAGCAGUAAGGAAUAUUGGACAAUGGAGGCAACUCUGAUCCAGCCAUGCCGCGUGAAGGAUUAAGGCCCUAUGGGUUGUAAACUUCUUUUAGACGGGACAAAACCCCUUUACGUGUAAAGGGUUGAUUGUACUGUCAGAAUAAGCAUCUGCUAACUUCGUGCCAGCAGCCGCGGUAAUACGAAGGAUGCAAGCGUUAUCCGGAAUUAUUGGGUUUAAAGGGUGCGUAGGCGGACUAAUAAGUCAGUGGUGAAAGCCUGCAGCUUAACUGCAGAACUGCCAUUGAUACUGUUAGUCUUGAGUACAGUUGAGGUAGGCGGAAUGUGUCAUGUAGCGGUGAAAUGCUUAGAUAUGACACAGAACACCGAUUGCGAAGGCAGCUUGCUAAGCUGUAACUGACGCUGAGGCACGAAAGCGUGAGGAGCAAACAGGAUUAGAAACCCUAGUAGUCC